CCUACGGGUGGCAGCAGUAGGGAAUCUUCCACAAUGGGCGCAAGCCUGAUGGAGCAACACCGCGUGAGUGAAGAAGGCUUUCGGCUCGUAAAGCUCUUUUGUUGGGGAAGAACGUGCGUGGGAGUAACUGUUCACGCAGUGACGGUAUCCAACCAGGAAGUCACGGCUAACUACGUGCCAGCAGCCGCGGUAAUACGUAGGGGGCAAGCGUUAACCGGAUUUAUUGGGCGUAAAGCGAGCGCAGGCGGUUGCUUAGGUCUGAUGUGAAAGCCUUGGGCUUAACCGAGGAAGUGCAUCAGAAACUGGGCGACUAGAGUGCAGAAGAGGACAGUGGAAUUCCAGGUGUAGCGGUGGAAUGCGUAGAUAUAUGGAAGAACACCAGUGGCGAAGGCGGCUGCCUGGUCAGCAACUGACGCUGAGGCUCGAAAGCAUGGGGAGCGAACAGGAUUAGAUACCCUGGUAGUC
rnacentral:rRNA from 1 species